UGAUAUUCUUCCAUUGUUGACCCCAUGAACAUACAGUGAAGAAGAGAAAGGACUGCAGGAAUCUCUAGGUCAGCAGCAACUGCUUCAAUUAAGUCACACAGCAGCAGGUCAGACUAUGGGUUUGUUCUGCUCUCUUUAAACCUGUAUGUAGAAACGCUCUUAGUAAAUUGAGAAGGUUGUAAGUGGGGAAUUUGACCUGCUAGUGGGUAAACUCAAUCUCUGUCUCUCUACUUCCUUCCCCAUGAUAAUAAGGUAGGGAGCUCAUCACCAUAUGGGUACACAUAUAAGUUCUGGUUUAUCCCCAAUCUAGGGGUAGAUAAAUGAAUUAGCUACAAGGAGGGGAAAUUUCAGGUCAUUGCAAGUCCAUUCUAUAUUGUCUCUUUAAUUCAUAUUGACUGAUUUAAAAAAAAUCAAAAAGCUCCUUAACAUUAUAAUUCUUCACCAGAUGUCAUAACAUGUAGGUUAACUUGAGCAACCUCCUAAUUUUCAAAAUGUCAUUAAAAUGAAAAAGCAAGAAAUAGAUUUCCCCUACAAUAUAGUGUUUGAGUGCAUUCCUGCCUUGUCUUUUCAGAUUAUCACACCUUAAAAAAAAGGAUUAAGUCCAUUUCUCUGUUGUUGAGGAUUAUAUAUGAACUACAAGGAAACCAGAGGGUAUAUUUCACAUCUCUGUUUUAAAAUAGCAAUGCAAUGUUUAAGUUGAAAGUCAUGUCUUGUAUAUUAAGCAGGGAGAAAAAAAAAGUUGUAAACUUGGUAUUGGUCUUGAAAAAUUGACCAGUUGGAACAUUAUCAGUAGAUACUGGUCUUCCCAUAUCUUCUGAGGAUUCUGAUUUUGGUUUUAAUUUUAUAGAGUAGUGGUUUUUUUCCCCCCUACCUUCCUUUCUACUCAACUUGAAGUAUUUUCAAGGAAAGUGCUAAACGUUCUUAUAGAAUAGAAUUAAAUUGCACUAUUCCCAUUGACUUUAUUUGGGUGUUGUAUGCCCCAGUGGGCAUGUUUCUGAUACACCCCUCUCUCUAUCCUUCAAAUGCCUUCCA
rnacentral:lncRNA from 1 species